rnacentral:tRNA from 1 species
GGCUUCAUAGCUCAGUUGGCAGAGCAUCGCACCGGUAUUGCGGAGGUCAUAGGUUUGAAUCCAGUUGUAGUCU